rnacentral:rRNA from 1 species
GAUGAACGCUAGCGGCAGGCCUAAUACAUGCAAGUCGAACGGUAGAUCGGGUAGCAAUACUUGAUUGAGAGUGACGUAAGGGUGCGUAACACGUAUGCAAUCUACCCUCAACAGGAGUAUAGCUCGGGGAAACUCGGAUUAACACUCCAUAACAUUACGAUGUGGCAUCACAUUGUGAUUAAAACUCCGGUGGUUGAGGAUGAGCAUGCGUCUGAUUAGUUAGUUGGAGGUGUAACGGACCCCCAAGACGAUGAUCAGUAGGGGAACUGAGAGGUUGAUCCCCCACACUGGCACUGAGAUACGGGCCAGACUCCUACGGGAGGCAGCAGUGAGGAAUAUUGGACAAUGGGCGAGAGCCUGAUCCAGCCAUGCCGCGUGCAGGAAGACGGCCCUAUGGGUUGUAAACUGCUUUUGUACGGGAAGAAACACCCCCCUCGUGAGGGGGCUUGACGGUACCGUAAGAAUAAGGAUCGGCUAACUCCGUGCCAGCA